rnacentral:lncRNA from 1 species
CUUGAAGCAUUUCUUGAUGUCUGAUUCCAACUGUGUGGAUUCCAGGUGCUAUGGAUGCCAACCAUUAAUCACACUUGGACAAUCUCGUCUCCCACAGAGGGCUAGACUGUUUAUGGUUCUGUCUAGAAAGACUUUGUAAUGACAAGGCAGAGCUUUAAUUGCUCCCAAAAUGUAUAAUCAUACCUUAUGCAUUUGAAGCACAGAAAAAUCAUUUCUAAAUAACCGACAAUCAUAAGGUGAAAAGAAGAAGUAAAGUAAAAUCAUCAAGCAAGUAUACAGAAGACUACUUAUGAACACCAAAUGGACUGAGAGGUUCAGUGAUAAAUCUCUCUUACUUGUACAACACAGCAGAUUGUACUACGAACAUUCUGCUAAUAUAAAAGUAUGGACUUCCUCGUUCACUUGUAAAACAGAAACCCUCAGAGUGAAAAGAAGGUGCAAGUUCUUUCCAAGUGCAGAGCCGGAGAAGGGUGCGCUGACGAAUGAAUGAUGUGAUACUGAUUUGCGUAGCAUAACAUGGUUUACAAACUGCAGUCACAAGCGUCACCUUAUGCGCGAUCUAUCAUUAAUCUCACAU